AUCCAGCUGACCAGUCCCAAAUGGGACGAAACGCACGUCAAACUGGAU
rnacentral:hammerhead_ribozyme from 1 species